rnacentral:rRNA from 1 species
GAUGAACGCUGGCGGCGUGCCUAAUACAUGCAAGUCGAGCGAACAGACGAGGAGCUUGCUCCUCGGACGUUAGCGGCGGACGGGUGAGUAACACGUGGAUAACCUACCUAUAAGACUGGGAUAACUUCGGGAAACCGGAGCUAAUACCGGAUAAUAUAUUGAACCGCAUGGUGCAAUAGUGAAAGACGGUUUUGCGGUCACUUAUAGAGGGAUCCGCGCCGCAUUAGCUAGUUGGUAAGGUAACGGCUUACCAAGGCAACGAUGCGUAGACGAACUGAGAGGGUGAUCGGCCACACUGGAACUGAGACACGGUCCAGACUACUACGGGAGGCAGCAGUAGGGAAUCUUACGCAAUGGGCGAAAGCUUGACGCAGCAACGGCGAGUGAGUGAUGAAGGUCUUCGGAUCGUAAAACUCUGUUAUUAGGGAAGAACAAAUGUGUAAGUAACUAUGCACGUCUUGACGGUACCUAAUCAGAAAGCCCCGGCUAACUACGUG